GGUGAUUGUGACAAAUAGGUGUUGUAUGUGCAAGAAGUCCGAGGAGACGGUGGAUCAUCUUCUCCUUCAUUGCGAGGUAGCUUAUACUUUGUGGAGCACCUUCUUCGGGCGGUUUGGGUUGUCUUGGGUGAUGCCGAAGAGGGUUUCGGAUUUUCUCGCUUGUUGGUGGUCUUCGGGGAGGAGGGAGAGUGCCGCGGUGUGGAAAAUGGUGCCUACGUGCUUUUUUUGGUGUCUAUGGAGGGAAAGGAAUAAUAGGUGCUUUGAGGAUGUGGAGGGGACUUGGGAAGACAUUUUAGCCUCUUGCUUUCAAACUUUGUAUCUUUGGACCGUUGCGCAUGUCUCUCCUGUUUCGAUUAGUUAUGAUGAUUUUCUUCUUCGUUUUUCUCCUUCUAGUUAGGUGAUCCUAUUGUAUACUCCCAGUGUACCUUGGGGCGCCUAUACGCUUUUUAAUAAAACUUCUUAUUACUUAUCAAAAAAAAAGUUUUGGGUAUUUUGUGUUUUGAGUUUGUUAAUACUUUUUAUUUUUUUGCUAAAAAGCAAAAAGCUGUUCUAAAAAUGUUACCGAACAAGCCUGAAGUUGUUGAGAGGCUGCCACCGGUGUGAUGGUUUACACAUAUUAGUUACAAAAUGGGAACAUCGGCCUCUUGAUAGGUUGCCACUGGCCAUGUCAGGAUCAAAAUGAAUGUAUAGAUGUUUGCCACUGGCCUUCUUAUGUAAGAAAGAAACAACCUGUGAAACUGCGGUAGAGCGAUGAAUCAUCCAUAUUAGGAACAGGGGGGGGUGAAUGAUCCAUUUCAGUGCUGUAAAGGAGGCAGAGUGCUGGUCGUUGGCCCUGCUGGCAGAAUCAGUUAACUGACUGGGGCAAUUUCUAGUUGUCAAUGGCAACCGUUCAAUGUUUGAAUUGGGAAAAGUCUGAAAGAAAUGUAUUUGUGGAUGAUCAGACGACAAAUAUCUCUAUUCUCAGCAUUGACACGAUGGGGGAGCAAGAGACAUCAUUCCUGGGACAAUUGUUGCACGUUUCGUGAGUCCCCAUCUCCAGGUUUACUGAAUCUGUUCAUUCUUAUUCUUUAUGUUUGAUGGUUAUGCAACUCCUAAUUUUGAGUGUUGGUUAGUUUCAUUAUCUGACAUAGACCAUGUCUAGGAUCGCUUAGGAUAUUCAGAUUUAUGUUGAUGGUUGAGACUUUGACCUUUCUUCUUUCACAUUCAUUUGUUGAGAAUUUUUGGCUUUUCUUCUUUCACAUUUCAUUUCUCUCUUCAAUGGAAGCUGGAUAGUGAAGGUGGCUAGGAUUAAGGACUACAUGGACUUCAUUGCUGGGACUAGCAAGGAGUCUUUGUCACAGCUAUGCUUAGCACACCAAAUGAAAGCAACUGGCCUUUGUUCACUGCAAAGAUACACUAACAACUUUCAUGUUCAAGAAAGUCCACUUAUUUUUCCCCCAGAAAUCAGAACAGGCCCAUCAGCUUUUCAAAAUGUAGACUGCAAACUAUGGCAAUCUUGUUUGGGAAUAGUAGAAGAAAAUAUUGAAAAUAUUUCUCCCAAGUUAUGAGAAAGAAAUCAUUUUAACU